rnacentral:lncRNA from 1 species
UCUCACACACUGAUCCAAACUGGAAUGUGAUAUGAGUAGGAGAUUUGAACUUGGAUUUAUCUGGAUGAUAUUUUCAAGAGAAGCGCAAAGAGUUGGUUUGCUUGCACACCGCUGGUGUACCACUACCCCCGAUACCUCAACACUAUGUAAUACUUGAAGAAAUUAGAUUAAUUUUCUAUCAUCCAGUGAAACAUUAGCUCAAAACAGAAAUUAAAUUAUCAUAAAAUUAUGACAUCACAUUCCAUGCACACCUGGGGUUGUAGACUGAGAUGCUGUAUCCAGAAGGCUAGCUAUUGUAAAUAUUAAUUUUCAGAAAUGUAUUAAAUGAUAACUGAACACUUCUAGCAAGACAUAAAACAUAUUGGCUAUUACUUUCUUUGAAGAAAGGAAUUACCCAGCAUUUGGCAUUGCCCCAGAGAUAUACCUAAUAUUUUUAAUACAGUAACAUACCAACAGUGAU